CGUAGGGUGCGAGCGUUAAUCGGAAUUACUGGGCGUAAAGCGUGCGCAGGCGGUUUUGUAAGACAGGCGUGAAAUCCCCGGGCUCAACCUGGGAACUGCGCUUGUGACUGCAAGGCUAGAGUACGGCAGAGGGGGGUGGAAUUCCACGUGUAGCAGUGAAAUGCGUAGAGAUGUGGAGGAACACCAAUGGCGAAGGCAGCCCCCUGGGUCGAUACUGACGCUCAUGCACGAAAGCGUGGGUAGCAAACAGGAUUAGAUACCCUGGUAGUCCACGCCCUAAACGAUGUCAACUAGGUGUUGGGUAGGGUAAAACCAUUUAGUACCGGAGCUAACGCGUGAAGUUGACCGCCGUGGGGAGUACGGCCGCAAAGGUU
rnacentral:rRNA from 1 species